rnacentral:rRNA from 1 species
AUGCGGACGACAAGGGAAGGAGGAGGCCGGCGAGGAAGGCAAGCAACAGCGGGGAAGGAGAAGGUGAGCGAUCCUAGCAUGGGGAAGGGGCAGGGUGAGGCCUCGCGCACCUGCCGGCGGCCGGCAGGUCGACUUGUUGCGCCACCGCGUCGUCAUCUCCUCUGCACCAUGAGAGGCNNGUCCAUGGACAUUGUCAUAAUGGUCACCUUAUCGCAGUGUGUUAUUUUUGGAUCUCAUAUUCCUCAAGGCGCUCCAUUCUCUGAUUCGAUGUCUGACGAUCUGAGAAAUAAGAGGAGGAAUAAUCCAGCAGAAGAAUUUGGUGAAGAAGAACAAGAUUGUGAUGUUCAUAUAUGGGGAUUUUUUUUGUCAAUUUUGUUGCUUCAAUAUGUAGGUGCUACUGCCCAUGUGGGAUAUCUAAUAGAAAAGAAUACCUUUAUCCUGAUAGGCAUGGAAACACCGGUUCGCAUUGAGUGCAUCAUCGCUAAUCAGCUACUAUUAGAGAGCAAGGGACAUAUAAGAAAUCUCCAGGUAGCUUCACUUAGAUGCAUCAUCUUCUGCUAG